GAUGAAGAACGUAGCGAAAUGCGAUACUUGGUGUGAAUUGCAGAAUCCCGUUAACCAUCGAGUCUUUGAACGCAAGUUGCGCCCGAAGCCAUUAGGCCGAGGGCACGCCUGCCUGGGCGUCACACGUCGUUGCCCCCCCAUCUACUCCUUCGGGAUUGCGGGGGGCGGAUGAUGGCCUCCCGUGCGCCUCGCCGCGCGGUUGGCAUAAAUGCCAAGUCCUCGGCGACGCACGCCACGACAGUCGGUGGUUGCGAAACCUCGGUUGCCCGUCGUGUGCGGUCGUCGCGCAUCGAGGGCUCGAAAAAAUUGCCGGGUUCCGGCUCGGCUUUCAACGCGACCCCAGGUCAGGCGGGGUUACCCGCUGAAUUUAAGCAUAUCAAUAAGCGGAGGA
rnacentral:misc_RNA from 1 species